GGGUUGUGAGGUUAAGCGACUAAGCGUACACGGUGGAUGCCCUGGCAGUCAGAGGCGAUGAAGGACGUGCUAAUCUGCGAUAAGCGUCGGUAAGGUGAUAUGAACCGUUAUAACCGGCGAUUUCCGAAUGGGGAAACCCAGUGUGAUUCGUCACACUAUCAUUAACUGAAUCCAUAGGUUAAUGAGGCGAACCGGGGGAACUGAAACAUCUAAGUACCCCGAGGAAAAGAAAUCAACCGAGAUUCCCCCAGUAGCGGCGAGCGAACGGGGAGCAGCCCAGAGCCUGAAUCAGUGUGUGUGUUAGUGGAAGCGUCUGGAAAGGCGCGCGAUACAGGGUGACAGCCCCGUACACAAAAAUGCACAUACUGUGAGCUCGAUGAGUAGGGCGGGACACGUGGUAUCCUGUCUGAAUAUGGGGGGACCAUCCUCCAAGGCUAAAUACUCCUGACUGACCGAUAGUGAACCAGUACCGUGAGGGAAAGGCGAAAAGAACCCCGGCGAGGGGAGUGAAAAAGAACCUGAAACCGUGUACGUACAAGCAGUGGGAGCACGCUUAGGCGUGUGACUGCGUACCUUUUGUAUAAUGGGUCAGCGACUUAUAUUCUGUAGCAAGGUUAACCGAAUAGGGGAGCCGAAGGGAAACCGAGUCUUAACUGGGCGUUAAGUUGCAGGGUAUAGACCCGAAACCCGGUGAUCUAGCCAUGGGCAGGUUGAAGGUUGGGUAACACUAACUGGAGGACCGAACCGACUAAUGUUGAAAAAUUAGCGGAUGACUUGUGGCUGGGGGUGAAAGGCCAAUCAAACCGGGAGAUAGCUGGUUCUCCCCGAAAGCUAUUUAGGUAGCGCCUCGUGAAUUCAUCUCCGGGGGUAGAGCACUGUUUCGGCAAGGGGGUCAUCCCGACUUACCAACCCGAUGCAAACUGCGAAUACCGGAGAAUGUUAUCACGGGAGACACACGGCGGGUGCUAACGUCCGUCGUGAAGAGGGAAACAACCCAGACCGCCAGCUAAGGUCCCAAAGUCAUGGUUAAGUGGGAAACGAUGUGGGAAGGCCCAGACAGCCAGGAUGUUGGCUUAGAAGCAGCCAUCAUUUAAAGAAAGCGUAAUAGCUCACUGGUCGAGUCGGCCUGCGCGGAAGAUGUAACGGGGCUAAACCAUGCACCGAAGCUGCGGCAGCGACGCUUAUGCGUUGUUGGGUAGGGGAGCGUUCUGUAAGCCUGUGAAGGUGUGCUGUGAGGCAUGCUGGAGGUAUCAGAAGUGCGAAUGCUGACAUAAGUAACGAUAAAGCGGGUGAAAAGCCCGCUCGCCGGAAGACCAAGGGUUCCUGUCCAACGUUAAUCGGGGCAGGGUGAGUCGACCCCUAAGGCGAGGCCGAAAGGCGUAGUCGAUGGGAAACAGGUUAAUAUUCCUGUACUUGGUGUUACUGCGAAGGGGGGACGGAGAAGGCUAUGUUGGCCGGGCGACGGUUGUCCCGGUUUAAGCGUGUAGGCUGGUUUUCCAGGCAAAUCCGGAAAAUCAAGGCUGAGGCGUGAUGACGAGGCACUACGGUGCUGAAGCAACAAAUGCCCUGCUUCCAGGAAAAGCCUCUAAGCAUCAGGUAACAUCAAAUCGUACCCCAAACCGACACAGGUGGUCAGGUAGAGAAUACCAAGGCGCUUGAGAGAACUCGGGUGAAGGAACUAGGCAAAAUGGUGCCGUAACUUCGGGAGAAGGCACGCUGAUAUGUAGGUGAAGCGACUUGCUCGUGGAGCUGAAAUCAGUCGAAGAUACCAGCUGGCUGCAACUGUUUAUUAAAAACACAGCACUGUGCAAACACGAAAGUGGACGUAUACGGUGUGACGCCUGCCCGGUGCCGGAAGGUUAAUUGAUGGGGUCAGCGCAAGCGAAGCUCUUGAUCGAAGCCCCGGUAAACGGCGGCCGUAACUAUAACGGUCCUAAGGUAGCGAAAUUCCUUGUCGGGUAAGUUCCGACCUGCACGAAUGGCGUAAUGAUGGCCAGGCUGUCUCCACCCGAGACUCAGUGAAAUUGAACUCGCUGUGAAGAUGCAGUGUACCCGCGGCAAGACGGAAAGACCCCGUGAACCUUUACUAUAGCUUGACACUGAACAUUGAGCCUUGAUGUGUAGGAUAGGUGGGAGGCUUUGAAGUGUGGACGCCAGUCUGCAUGGAGCCGACCUUGAAAUACCACCCUUUAAUGUUUGAUGUUCUAACGUGGACCCGUAAUCCGGGUUGCGGACAGUGUCUGGUGGGUAGUUUGACUGGGGCGGUCUCCUCCUAAAGAGUAACGGAGGAGCACGAAGGUUGGCUAAUCCUGGUCGGACAUCAGGAGGUUAGUGCAAUGGCAUAAGCCAGCUUGACUGCGAGCGUGACGGCGCGAGCAGGUGCGAAAGCAGGUCAUAGUGAUCCGGUGGUUCUGAAUGGAAGGGCCAUCGCUCAACGGAUAAAAGGUACUCCGGGGAUAACAGGCUGAUACCGCCCAAGAGUUCAUAUCGACGGCGGUGUUUGGCACCUCGAUGUCGGCUCAUCACAUCCUGGGGCUGAAGUAGGUCCCAAGGGUAUGGCUGUUCGCCAUUUAAAGUGGUACGCGAGCUGGGUUUAGAACGUCGUGAGACAGUUCGGUCCCUAUCUGCCGUGGGCGCUGGAGAACUGAGGGGGGCUGCUCCUAGUACGAGAGGACCGGAGUGGACGCAUCACUGGUGUUCGGGUUGUCAUGCCAAUGGCACUGCCCGGUAGCUAAAUGCGGAAGAGAUAAGUGCUGAAAGCAUCUAAGCACGAAACUUGCCCCGAGAUGAGUUCUCCCUGACUCCUUGAGAGUCCUGAAGGAACGUUGAAGACGACGACGUUGAUAGGCCGGGUGUGUAAGCGCAGCGAUGCGUUGAGCUAACCGGUACUAAUGAACCGUGAGGCUUAACCUUACAACGCCGAAGGUGUUU
rnacentral:rRNA from 1 species